rnacentral:rRNA from 1 species
CCUACGGGAGACAGCAGUGGGGAAUAUUGCACAAUGGGGGAAACCCUGAUGCAGCGACGCCGCGUGAGUGAAGAAGUAUUUCGGGAUGUAAAGCUCUAUCAGCAGGGAAGAAAAUGACGGUACCUGAUCAAGAAGCCCCGGCUAACUACGUGCCAGCAGCCGCGGUAAUACGGAGGGGGCAAGCGUUAUCCGGAUUUACUGGGUGUAAAGGGGGCGUAGACGGCAGCACUAGUCUGGAGUGAAAAGCCGGGGCCUAACCCCGGACCUGCUUUGGAAACUGGGCAGCUAGAGUGCAGGAGAGGUAAGUGGAAUGCCUAGUGUAGCGGUGAAAUGCGUAGAUAUUAGGAGGAACACCAGUGGCGAAGGCGGCUUACUGGACUGUGACUGACGUUGAGGCUCGAAAGCGUGGGGAGCGAACAGGAUUAGAUACCCUGGUAGUC